GAUGAACGCUGGCGGCGUGCCUAAUACAUGCAAGUCGAGCGAACGGACGAGAAGCUUGCUUCUCUGAUGUUAGCGGCGGACGGGUGAGUAACACGUGGAUAACCUACCUAUAAGACUGGGAUAACUUCGGCAAACCGGAGCUAAUACCGGAUAAUAUUUUGAACCGCAUGGUUCAAAAGUGAAAGACGGUCUUGCUGUCACUUAUAGAUGGAUCCGCGCUGCAUUAGCUAGUUGGUAAGGUAACGGCUUACCAAGGCAACGAUGCAUAGCCGACCUGAGAGGGUGAUCGGCCACACUGGAACUGAGACACGGUCCAGACUCCUACGGGAGGCAGCAGUAGGGAAUCUUCCGCAAUGGGCGAAAGCCUGACAGAGCAACGCCGCGUGAGUGAUGAAGGUCUUCGGAUCGUAAAACUCUGUUAUUAGGGAAGAACAUAUGUGCAAGUAACUGUGCACAUCUUGACGGUACCUAAUCAGAAAGCCACGGCUAACUACGUG
rnacentral:rRNA from 1 species